CUACGGGUCGCACCAGUGGGGAAUAUUGCACAAUGGACGAAAGUCUGAUGCAGCAACGCCGCGUGGAGGAUGACACAUUUCGGUGCGUAAACUCCUUUUAUAUAGGAAGAUAAUGACGGUACUAUAUGAAUAAGCACCGGCUAACUCCGUGCCAGCAGCCGCGGUAAUACGGAGGGUGCAAGCGUUACUCGGAAUCACUGGGCGUAAAGAGCGUGUAGGCGGGUUAAUAAGUUGGAAGUGAAAUCCUAUGGCUCAACCAUAGAACUGCUUCCAAAACUGUUAACCUAGAAUAUGGGAGAGGUAGAUGGAAUUUCUGGUGUAGGGGUAAAAUCCGUAGAGAUCAGAAGGAAUACCGAUUGCGAAGGCGAUCUACUGGAACAUUAUUGACGCUGAGACGCGAAAGCGUGGGGAGCAAACAGGAUUAGAUACCCGUGUAGUC
rnacentral:rRNA from 1 species